rnacentral:rRNA from 1 species
UUUAUGGAGAGUUUGAUCCUGGCUCAGGAUGAACGCUGGCGGCGUGCCUAAUACAUGCAAGUCGAGCGAACGGACGAGAAGCUUGCUUCUCUGAUGUUAGCGGCGGACGGGUGAGUAACACGUGGAUAACCUACCUAUAAGACUGGGAUAACUUCGGGAAACCGGAGCUAAUACCGGAUAAUAUUUUGAACCGCAUGGUUCAAAAGUGAAAGACGGUCUUGCUGUCACUUAUAGAUGGAUCCGCGCUGCAUUAGCUAGUUGGUAAGGUAACGGCUUACCAAGGCAACGAUGCAUAGCCGACCUGAGAGGGUGAUCGGCCACACUGGAACUGAGACACGGUCCAGACUCCUACGGGAGGCAGCAGUAGGGAAUCUUCCGCAAUGGGCGAAAGCCUGACGGAGCAACGCCGCGUGAGUGAUGAAGGUCUUCGGAUCGUAAAACUCUGUUAUUAGGGAAGAACAUAUGUGUAAGUAACUGUGCACAUCUUGACGGUACCUAAUCAGAAAGCCACGGCUAACUACGUGCCAGCAGCCGCGGUAAUACGUAGGUGGCAAGCGUUAUCCGGAAUUAUUGGGCGUAAAGCGCGCGUAGGCGGUUUUUUAAGUCUGAUGUGAAAGCCCACGGCUCAACCGUGGAGGGUCAUUGGAAACUGGAAAACUUGAGUGCAGAAGAGGAAAGUGGAAUUCCAUGUGUAGCGGUGAAAUGCGCAGAGAUAUGGAGGAACACCAGUGGCGAAGGCGACUUUCUGGUCUGUAACUGACGCUGAUGUGCGAAAGCGUGGGGAUCAAACAGGAUUAGAUACCCUGGUAGUCCACGCCGUAAACGAUGAGUGCUAAGUGUUAGGGGGUUUCCGCCCCUUAGUGCUGCAGCUAACGCAUUAAGCACUCCGCCUGGGGAGUACGACCGCAAGGUUGAAACUCAAAGGAAUUGACGGGGACCCGCACAAGCGGUGGAGCAUGUGGUUUAAUUCGAAGCAACGCGAAGAACCUUACCAAAUCUUGACAUCCUUUGACAACUCUAGAGAUAGAGCCUUCCCCUUCGGGGGGCAAAGUGACAGGUGGUGCAUGGUUGUCGUCAGCUCGUGUCGUGAGAUGUUGGGUUAAGUCCCGCAACGAGCGCAACCCUUAAGCUUAGUUGCCAUCAUUAAGUUGGGCACUCUAAGUUGACUGCCGGUGACAAACCGGAGGAAGGUGGGGAUGACGUCAAAUCAUCAUGCCCCUUAUGAUUUGGGCUACACACGUGCUACAAUGGACAAUACAAAGGGCAGCGAAACCGCGAGGUCAAGCAAAUCCCAUAAAGUUGUUCUCAGUUCGGAUUGUAGUCUGCAACUCGACUACAUGAAGCUGGAAUCGCUAGUAAUCGUAGAUCAGCAUGCUACGGUGAAUACGUUCCCGGGUCUUGUACACACCGCCCGUCACACCACGAGAGUUUGUAACACCCGAAGCCGGUGGAGUAACCUUUUAGGAGCUAGCCGUCGAAGGUGGGACAAAUGAUUGGGGUGAAGUCGUAACAAGGUAGCCGUAUCGGAAGGUGCGGCUGGAUCACCUCCUUUCU